CCUACGGGAGGCAGCAGUGGGGAAUAUUGCUCAAUGGGGGAAACCCUGAAGCAGCAACGCCGCGUGAAGGAUGAAGGUUUUCGGAUUGUAAACUCCUUUUGUUAGAGAAGAUAAUGACGGUACCUAACGAAUAAGCACCGGCUAACUCCGUGCCAGCAGCCGCGGUAAUACGGAGGGUGCAAGCGUUACUCGGAAUCACUGGGCGUAAAGCGCGCGUAGGCGGGAUAGCAAGUCAGAUGUGAAAUCCUAUGGCUUAACCAUAGAACUGCAUUUGAAACUGUUAUUCUAGAGUAUGGGAGAGGUAGGUGGAAUUCUUGGUGUAGGGGUAAAAUCCGUAGAGAUCAAGAGGAAUACUCAUUGCGAAGGCGACCUGCUAGAACAUAACUGACGCUGAUGCGCGAAAGCGUGGGGAGCAAACAGGAUUAGAUACCCCAGUAGUC
rnacentral:rRNA from 1 species